UACGUAGGGUGCGAGCGUUAAUUGGAAUUACUGGGCGUAAAGCGUGCGCAGGCGGCUUUGCAAGACAGAUGUGAAAUCCCCGGGCUCAACCUGGGAACUGCAUUUGUGACUGCAAGGCUUGAGUACGGCAGAGGGGGAUGGAAUUCCGCGUGUAGCAGUGAAAUGCGUAGAUAUGCGGAGGAACACCGAUGGCGAAGGCAAUCCCCUGGGCCUGCACUGACGCUCAUGCACGAAAGCGUGGGGAGCAAACAGG
rnacentral:rRNA from 1 species